GUGGGUAGGGGAGGGGGAGAAGGUGAUUAUCAGAGAAUGGGCGCGGAGGUGGUUGAGAGUUUUUAAGAGGCUGAGAGCUGUUGAGGAGAUGUUUGUUUCAGAGGCGAUGGCCCGGGCUGUUCCUGUUGGGACAAUGCCGUUGGUGCAGCAGCAUGCACAAGUCGAGGUCGGGGCGGAGCCGGUGGCAGAAGUUGCCAUGGAUAAUGUUGACAUGAUUGAUAUAUGAGCGGGUGAGUGUUUUAUUAAUUUCUCUUUUGAUUAAGGAGAGGAUGGGGGAUGUAAGAAACAUUUACUUUCAAUUUUCGUUCUGGUUUGUAUCAUUUUCUUCCUAAAGUUUGUAUGGUAUUUAGUAUAAUUGAAUCUGUUAGGUUCUGUAUAACUAUAACUACUUUACUAACCGCAG
rnacentral:sRNA from 1 species